rnacentral:rRNA from 1 species
CCCGCUGAACUUAAGCAUAUCAAUAAGCGGAGGAAAAGAAACCAACAGGGAUUCCCUUAGUAACGGCGAGUGAAGCGGGAAUAGCUCAAUUUUGAAAUCUCGCGGGUUCCCCGUGCGAAUUGUAGUUUCAAGAAACGUUUUCGAAGGUGCUGGAGGCCCAAGUCCGUUGGAACGCGGUACCACAGAGGGUGAGAGUCCCGUUGGGUCUUUUUAAAAUUGCACUUUUGUCCGAUACGUUUUCAAAGAGUCGGAUAGUUUGGGAAUGCUGUCCAAAAUGGGUGGUAAAUACCAUCUAAAGCUAAAUAUUGGCGAGAGACCGAUAGCGAACAAGUACCGUGAGGGAAAGAUGAAAAGAACUUUGAAAAGAGAGUUAAAAGUACGUGAAAUUGUCAAAAGGGAAACGCUUGAAACCAGUAUUGCGCCCAACGUCAAAUCAGCCCUUCUUUGGGUGCACUUUGCGUUGCGUGGGUCAGCAUCAAUUCGGAUCGGAGUAAAAAGCGCUGUGGAAGGUGACCCUCUGGGUGUUUAUAGCCGCAGCCGCCAUGCUCUGGCCCGGAUUGAGGACUGCAGCUCUGCAUUGGGGCAAGAAGCCGCCUCUAACCGCUUGCCUGCAAACAACUUGUUGAUUGCGGGAGGAGCCGAGGAGCCCCGGUUUCCCUACCACUCUGAGCUUGGGAUGCUGACGAAAUGGUUUUAAACGACCCGUCUUGAAACACGG